UGGGGAAUCUUGGACAAUGGGGGCAACCCUGAUCCAGCCAUGCCGCGUGGGUGAAGAAGGCCUUAGGGUUGUAAAGCCCUUUCAGUCGUGACGAUGAUGACGGUAGUGACAGAAGAAGCACCGGCUAACUCAGUGCCAGCAGCCGCGGUAAUACAGAGGGUGCAAACGUUGCUCGGAAUGACUGGGCGUAAAGCGCGCGCAGGUGGCCCGUUAAGUCGGCUGUGAAAUCCCCUGGCUCAACCAGGGAAGUGCAGUCGAUACUGGCGGGCUCGAGUCCCGGAGAGGGUGGUAGAAUUCCCAGUGGAGAGGUGAAAUUCGUAGAUAUUGGGAGGAAUACCGGUGGCGAAGGCGACCGCCUGGACGGGUACUGACACUGAGGCGCGAAAGCGUGGGGAGCGAACAGGAUUAGAUACCCCUGUAGUCC
rnacentral:rRNA from 1 species